rnacentral:rRNA from 2 species
GCAGUCGAACGAACUCUGGUAUUGAUUGGUGCUUGCAUCAUGAUUUACAUUUGAGUGAGUGGCGAACUGGUGAGUAACACGUGGGAAACCUGCCCAGAAGCGGGGGAUAACACCUGGAAACAGAUGCUAAUACCGCAUAACAACUUGGACCGCAUGGUCCGAGCUUGAAAGAUGGCUUCGGCUAUCACUUUUGGAUGGUCCCGCGGCGUAUUAGCUAGAUGGUGGGGUAACGGCUCACCAUGGCAAUGAUACGUAGCCGACCUGAGAGGGUAAUCGGCCACAUUGGGACUGAGACACGGCCCAAACUCCUACGGGAGGCAGCAGUAGGGAAUCUUCCACAAUGGACGAAAGUCUGAUGGAGCAACGCCGCGUGAGUGAAGAAGGGUUUCGGCUCGUAAAACUCUGUUGUUAAAGAAGAACAUAUCUGAGAGUAACUGUUCAGGUAUUGACGGUAUUUAACCAGAAAGCCACGGCUAACUACGUGCCAGCAGCCGCGGUAAUACGUAGGUGGCAAGCGUUGUCCGGAUUUAUUGGGCGUAAAGCGAGCGCAGGCGGUUUUUUAAGUCUGAUGUGAAAGCCUUCGGCUCAACCGAAGAAGUGCAUCGGAAACUGGGAAACUUGAG